UACAGAGGGUGCAAGCGUUGUUCGGAAUACUGGGCGUAAAGCGCGUGUAGGCGGCGUCGUUAGUCGGAUAUGAAAGCCCUCGGCUCAACCGAGGAAGUGCAUCCGAUACUGCGAUGCUUGAGUGUUGGAGGGGGUGGCGGAAUUCCCGGUGUAGAGGUGAAAUUCCGGUAGAUAUCGGGAGGAACACCUGGUGGCGAAGGCGGCCACCUCGGACACAACUGACGCUGAGACGCGAAAGCGUGGGUAGCAAACAGGUUAGAAA
rnacentral:rRNA from 1 species